GGGUUGUGAGGUUAAGCGACUAAGCGUACACGGUGGAUGCCCUGGCAGUCAGAGGCGAUGAAGGGCGUGCUAAUCUGCGAUAAGCGCCGGUAAGGUGAUAUGAACCGUUAUAACCGGCGAUACCCGAAUGGGGAAACCCAGUGUGACUCGUCACACUAUCAUUAACUGAAUCCAUAGGUUAAUGAGGCGAACCGGGGGAACUGAAACAUCUAAGUACCCCGAGGAAAAGAAAUCAACCGAGAUUCCCCCAGUAGCGGCGAGCGAACGGGGAGGAGCCCAGAGCCUGAAUCAGCAUGUGUGUUAGUGGAAGCGUCUGGAAAGGCGCGCGAUACAGGGUGACAGCCCCGUACACAAAAGCGCAUGUGCUGUGAGCUCGAUGAGUAGGGCGGGACACGUGGUAUCCUGUCUGAAUAUGGGGGGACCAUCCUCCAAGGCUAAAUACUCCUGACUGACCGAUAGUGAACCAGUACCGUGAGGGAAAGGCGAAAAGAACCCCGGCGAGGGGAGUGAAAAAGAACCUGAAACCGUGUACGUACAAGCAGUGGGAGCACCCUUUGGGUGUGACUGCGUACCUUUUGUAUAAUGGGUCAGCGACUUAUAUUCUGUAGCAAGGUUAACCGAAUAGGGGAGCCGGAGGGAAACCGAGUCUUAACCGGGCGUUAAGUUGCAGGGUAUAGACCCGAAACCCGGUGAUCUAGCCAUGGGCAGGUUGAAGGUUGGGUAACACUAACUGGAGGACCGAACCGACUAAUGUUGAAAAAUUAGCGGAUGACCUGUGGCU
rnacentral:rRNA from 1 species